rnacentral:rRNA from 1 species
CAGCCGCCGCGGUAAUACGAAGGGUGCAAGCGUUACUCGGAAUUACUGGGCGUAAAGCGUGCGUAGGUGGUGGUUUAAGUCCGUUGUGAAAGCCCUGGGCUUAACCUGGGAAUUGCAGUGGAUACUGGGUCACUAGAGUGUGGUAGAGGAUAGUGGAAUUUCCGGUGUAGCAGUGAAAUGCGUAGAGAUCGGAAGGAACAUCUGUGGCGAAGGCGACUAUCUGGGCCAACACUGACACUGAGGCACGAAAGCGUGGGGAGCAAACAGGAUUAGAUACCCCCGUAGUCCCUGUCUCUUAUAC